ensembl:lncRNA
GGCAAGAGUACUGGAGUGGGUUGCCAUUUCCUUCUCCAGGAGAUCUUCCCAACCCAGGGAUCGAACCCAGGUCUCCCGCAUUGCAGGCAGACACUCUACCAUCUGAGUCACCAGGGAAGAGAAUGGUGACCUCCUUCGAAACAUCCCAUGCAUGUACUGCUACACUCAGUGCCCCCACCCAUGCAGCAGGCCACCACGGACCCAUGCCUCCACUCGAGACUCCUGGAUACUCACAGGUAAUCAGGGCCAGUGGGCCUGUAAGGUUUAUGCCAGGGAGACAGUGGGCAGGAUUGAGAAAUUGGUUCCAGAAGAAAGGGAUAAGCAAGUAAGAGACUAUAUCGAAGGUAAUGAAAACCAAAUAAGGGUAUUGUAAGUGUGGAAAGAAAAAGGCUAGAAUGAAUUCUGGGGAAUUCUGACUUGGAAGUAUUUGUGUGCACUCAUGGUUUUUAAAAGAACAUAUAAUCAGGGACUUCCCUGGUGGCUCAGUGGUAAAGAGUCUGCCUGCCAACUCAGGAGACACGGGUUUGAUCCCU